rnacentral:rRNA from 1 species
GACGAACGCUGGCGGCGUGCCUAAUACAUGCAAGUCGAACGGAAAGACGAUGAGCUUGCGUCGCUGAUGUUAGCGGAGGGCGGGUGAGUAACACGUGGAUAACCUACCUAUAAGACUGAGAUAACUUCGGGAAACCGGAGAUAAUACCAGAUGAUCUUUUGAACCGCAUGGUUCAAUGGUGAGAGUCGGUCUUGCUGUCACUAAUAGAUGGAUCUGGGCUGCAUUAGCUAGUUGGGAAGGUAACGGCCUACCAAGGCUAGGAGGCAUAGACGACGUGAGAGGGGGGUCGGCCGCAUGAGAAGUGAGACACGCACCAGACGCCUACGGGAGGGACCAGAAGGGUAUCGUCGGCAACGGGCGGAAGCCUGACGGAGCGACGCGGAGUGAGUGAUGACGGCGCCCGGAGCGGAAUACCCGGUUUUGAGGGAAGAACAGAUGUGUAAUUUAAUGUGCACAGCUUGACGGUACUGAGUCAGAAAGCACCGGCUAACUACGUG